GCGGCUGUAGCUCAGUUGGUAGAGCCCUGGAUUGUGAUUCCGGUUGUCGUGGGUUCGAGCCCCAUCAGUCGCC
rfam:Pseudoalteromonas luteoviolacea S4054 contig_39, whole genome shotgun sequence.